AUUGAACGCUGGCGGCAGGCCUAACACAUGCAAGUCGAGCGGAUGAAGGGAGCUUGCUCCUGGAUUCAGCGGCGGACGGGUGAGUAAUGCCUAGGAAUCUGCCUGGUAGUGGGGGAUAACGUCCGGAAACGGGCGCUAAUACCGCAUACGUCCUGAGGGAGAAAGUGGGGGAUCUUCGGACCUCACGCUAUCAGAUGAGCCUAGGUCGGAUUAGCUAGUUGGUGGGGUAAAGGCCUACCAAGGCGACGAUCCGUAACUGGUCUGAGAGGAUGAUCAGUCACACUGGAACUGAGACACGGUCCAGACUCUUACGGGAGGCAGCAGUGGGGAAUAUUGGACAAAGGGCGAAAGCCUGAUCCAGCCAUGCCGCGUGUGUGAAGAAGGUCUUCGGAUUGUAAAGCACUUUAAGUUGGGAGGAAGGGCAGUAAGUUAAUACCUUGCUGUUUUGACGUUACCAACAGAAUAAGCACCGGCUAACUUCGUG
rnacentral:rRNA from 1 species